AUUGAACGCUGGCGGCAGGCCUAACACAUGCAAGUCGAGCGGAUGAAGGGAGCUUGCUCCUGGAUUCAGCGGCGGACGGGUGAGUAAUGCCUAGGAAUCUGCCUGGUAGUGGGGGAUAACGUCCGGAAACGGGCGCUAAUACCGCAUACGUCCUGAGGGAGAAAGUGGGGGAUCUUCGGACCUCACGCUAUCAGAUGAGCCUAGGUCGGAUUAGCUAGUUGGUGGGGUAAAGGCCUACCAAGGCGACGAACCGUAACUGGUCUGAGAGGAUGAUCAGUCACACUGGAACUGAGACACGGUCCAGACUCCUACGGGAGGCAGCAGUGGGGAAUAUUGGACAAUGGGCGAAAGCCUGAUCCAGCCAUGCCGCGUGUGUGAAGAAGGUCUUCGGAUUGUAAAGCACUUUAAGUUGGGAGGAAGGGCAGUAAAUUAAUACCUUGCUGUUUUGACGUUACCAACAGAAUAAGCACCGGCUAACUUCGUG
rnacentral:rRNA from 1 species